CCCUUGUUGCUCAGUUGGUAGAGCGCUCCACUUGUAAUGGAGAGGUCCCGGGUUCGAUACCCGGACCAGGCG
rnacentral:tRNA from 1 species